rnacentral:rRNA from 1 species
GAUGAACGCUGGCGGCGUGCCUAAUACAUGCAAGUCGAGCGAAUGGAUUAAGAGCUUGCUCUUAUGAAGUUAGCGGCGGACGGGUGAGUAACACGUGGGUAACCUGCCCAUAAGACUGGGAUAACUCCGGGAAACCGGGGCUAAUACCGGAUAAUAUUUUGAACUGCAUGGUUCAAAAUUGAAAGGCGGCUCCGGCUGUCACUUAUGGAUGGACCCGCGUCGCAUUAGCUAGUUGGUGAGGUAACGGCUCACCAAGGCAACGAUGCGUAGCCGACCUGAGAGGGUGAUCGGCCACACUGGGACUGAGACACGGCCCAGACUCCUACGGGAGGCAGCAGUAGGGAAUCUUCCGCAAUGGACGAAAGUCUGAUGGAGCAACGCCGCGUGAGUGAUGAAGGCUUUCGGGUCGUAAAACUCUGUUGUUAGGGAAGAACAAGUGCUAGUUGAAUAAGCUGGCACCUUGACGGUACCUAACCAGAAAGCCACGGCUAACUACGUGCCAGCCGCCGCCGUAA